rnacentral:rRNA from 1 species
GAUGAACGCUGGCGGCGUGCCUAAUACAUGCAAGUCGAGCGAACAGAUGAGGAGCUUGCUCCUCUGACGUUAGCGGCGGACGGGUGAGUAACACGUGGAUAACCUACCUAUAAGACUGGGAUAACUUCGGGAAACCGGAGCUAAUACCGGAUAAUAUAUUGAACCGCAUGGUUCAAUAGUGAAAGACGGUUUUGCUGUCACUUAUAGAUGGAUCCGCGCCGCAUAAGCUAGUUGGUAAGGUAACGGCUUACCAAGGCAACGAUGCGUAGCCGACCUGAGAGGGUGAUCGGCCACACUGGAACUGAGACACGGUCCAGACUCCUACGGGAGGCAGCAGUAGGGAAUCUUCCGCAAUGGGCGAAAGCCUGACGGAGCAACGCCACGUGAGUGAUGAAGGUCUUCGGAUCGUAAAACUCUGUUAUUAGGGAAGAACAAAUGUGUAAGUAACUAUGCACGUCUUGACGGUACCUAAUCAGAAAGCCACGGCUAACUACGUG